UAUUAAAAAUUUUAUCCAUUUCAACUGUUAAAAAUUAACAUGACUAAUAAAAUAAUCAAAUAGUUAUGUGACAUACUAUAUGUACCACAUUAUAAUGUACAUAGAUAAGUUUUUAACAGUAAAAAUAGAUGUAAAUUUUAACA
rnacentral:pre_miRNA from 1 species